GACGAACGCUGGCGGCGUGCUUAACACAUGCAAGUCGAACGGAAAGGCCCCCACUUUUUUGGUGGGGGUGCUCGAGUGGCGAACGGGUGAGUAACACGUGGGUGAUCUGCCCUGUACUUCGGGAUAAGCUUGGGAAACAGGGUCUAAUACCGGAUAGGACCAUGGUUUAGUGUCUCAUGGUGGAAAGAUUAUUGUUUUGGUGCAGGAUGAGCUCGCGGCCUAUCAGCUUGUUGGUGGGGUAAUGGCCUACCAAGGCGUCGACGGGUAGCCGGCCUGAGAGGGUGGACGGCCACAUUGGGACUGAGAUACGGCCCAGACUCCUACGGGAGGCAGCAGUGGGGAAUAUUGCACAAUGGGCGCAAGCCUGAUGCAGCGACGCCGCGUGGGGGAUGACGGCCUUCGGGUUGUAAACUCCUUUCGUUAGGGACGAAGCCGCACCUGUUUUGG
rnacentral:rRNA from 1 species